GACGAACGCUGGCGGCGUGCUUAACACAUGCAAGUCGAACGGAAAGGCCCCUUUUGGGGUACUCGAGUGGCGAACGGGUGAGUAACACGUGAGUAACCUGCCCUUGACUUCGGGAUAACUUCAGGAAACUGGGGCUAAUACCGGAUAGGAAUCCUUGCUGCAUGGUGGGGGUUGGAAAGCUUCGGCGGUUUUGGAUGGACUCGCGGCUUAUCAGCUUGUUGGUGGGGUAGUGGCUUACCAAGGCUUUGACGGGUAGCCGGCCUGAGAGGGCGACCGGCCACAUUGGGACUGAGAUACGGCCCAGACUCCUACGGGAGGCAGCAGUGGGGAAUAUUGCACAAUGGGCGGAAGCCUGAUGCAGCAACGCCGCGUACGGGAUGACGGCCUUCGGGUUGUAAACCGCUUUCAGCAGGGGCGAAGCUUGUGGUGACGGUACCUGCAGAAGAAGCACCGGCUAACUACGUG
rnacentral:rRNA from 1 species